rnacentral:rRNA from 1 species
AUUGAACGCUGGCGGCAGGCCUAACACAUGCAAGUCGAGCGGAGCGGCGGACGUGUGAGUAAUGCCUAGGAAUCUGCCUGGUAGCGGGGGAUAACGUCCGGAAACGGGCGCUAAUACCGCAUACUAUCAGAUGAGCCUCGGUCGGAUUAGCUAGUUGGUGGGGUAAAGGCCUACCAAGGCGACGAUCCGUAACUGGACUGAGAGGAUGGUCAGUCACACUGGAACUGAAACACGGUCCAGGCUCCUACGGGAGGCAGCAGUGGGGAAUGUUGGACAAUGGGCGAAAGCCUGAUCCAGCCAGGGAGCGUGUGUGAAGAAGGUCUUCGGAUUGUAAAGCACUUUAAGUUGGGAGGCGUUACCGACAGAAGAAGCACCGGCUAACUACGUGCCAGCAGCCGCGGUAAUAC